UUAAGCGACUAAGCGUACACGGUGGAUGCCCUGGCAGUCAGAGGCGAUGAAGGACGUGCUAAUCUGCGAUAAGCGUCGGUAAGGUGAUAUGAACCGUUAUAACCGGCGAUUUCCGAAUGGGGAAACCCAGUGUGAUUCGUCACACUAUCAUUAACUGAAUCCAUAGGUUAAUGAGGCGAACCGGGGGAACUGAAACAUCUAAGUACCCCGAGGAAAAGAAAUCAACCGAGAUUCCCCCAGUAGCGGCGAGCGAACGGGGAGGAGCCCAGAGCCUGAAUCAGUGUGUGUGUUAGUGGAAGCGUCUGGAAAGGCGCGCGAUACAGGGUGACAGCCCCGUACACAAAAAUGCACAUGCUGUGAGCUCGAUGAGUAGGGCGGGACACGUGGUAUCCUGUCUGAAUAUGGGGGGACCAUCCUCCAAGGCUAAAUACUCCUGACUGACCGAUAGUGAACCAGUACCGUGAGGGAAAGGCGAAAAGAACCCCGGCGAGGGGAGUGAAAAAGAACCUGAAACCGUGUACGUACAAGCAGUGGGAGCACAGAGCAAUCUGUGUGACUGCGUACCUUUUGUAUAAUGGGUCAGCGACUUAUAUUCUGUAGCAAGGUUAACCGAAUAGGGGAGCCGAAGGGAAACCGAGUCUUAACUGGGCGUUAAGUUGCAGGGUAUAGACCCGAAACCCGGUGAUCUAGCCAUGGGCAGGUUGAAGGUUGGGUAACACUAACUGGAGGACCGAACCGACUAAUGUUGAAAAAUUAGCGGAUGACUUGUGGCUGGGGGUGAAAGGCCAAUCAAACCGGGAGAUAGCUGGUUCUCCCCGAAAGCUAUUUAGGUAGCGCCUCGUGAAUUCAUCUCCGGGGGUAGAGCACUGUUUCGGCAAGGGGGUCAUCCCGACUUACCAACCCGAUGCAAACUGCGAAUACCGGAGAAUGUUAUCACGGGAGACACACGGCGGGUGCUAACGUCCGUCGUGAAGAGGGAAACAACCCAGACCGCCAGCUAAGGUCCCAAAGUCAUGGUUGAGUGGGAAACGAUGUGGGAAGGCCCAGACAGCCAGGAUGUUGGCUUAGAAGCAGCCAUCAUUUAAAGAAAGCGUAAUAGCUCACUGGUCGAGUCGGCCUGCGCGGAAGAUGUAACGGGGCUAAACCAUGCACCGAAGCUGCGGCAGCGACACUGUGUGUUGUUGGGUAGGGGAGCGUUCUGUAAGCCUGUGAAGGUGUGCUGUGAGGCAUGCUGGAGGUAUCAGAAGUGCGAAUGCUGACAUAAGUAACGAUAAAGCGGGUGAAAAGCCCGCUCGCCGGAAGACCAAGGGUUCCUGUCCAACGUUAAUCGGGGCAGGGUGAGUCGACCCCUAAGGCGAGGCCGAAAGGCGUAGUCGAUGGGAAACAGGUUAAUAUUCCUGUACUUGGUGUUACUGCGAAGGGGGGACGGAGAAGGCUAUGUUGGCCGGGCGACGGUUGUCCCGGUUUAAGCGUGUAGGCUGGUUUUCCAGGCAAACCCGGAAAAUCAAGGCUGAGGCGUGAUGACGAGGCACUACGGUGCUGAAGCAACAAAUGCCCUGCUUCCAGGAAAAGCCUCUAAGCAUCAGGUAACAUCAAAUCGUACCCCAAACCGACACAGGUGGUCAGGUAGAGAAUACCAAGGCGCUUGAGAGAACUCGGGUGAAGGAACUAGGCAAAAUGGUGCCGUAACUUCGGGAGAAGGCACGCUGAUAUGUAGGUGAAGUCCCUCGCGGAUGGAGCUGAAAUCAGUCGAAGAUACCAGCUGGCUGCAACUGUUUAUUAAAAGCACAGCACUGUGCAAACACGAAAGUGGACGUAUACGGUGUGACGCCUGCCCGGUGCCGGAAGGUUAAUUGAUGGGGUCAGCGCAAGCGAAGCUCUUGAUCGAAGCCCCGGUAAACGGCGGCCGUAACUAUAACGGUCCUAAGGUAGCGAAAUUCCUUGUCGGGUAAGUUCCGACCUGCACGAAUGGCGUAAUGAUGGCCAGGCUGUCUCCACCCGAGACUCAGUGAAAUUGAACUCGCUGUGAAGAUGCAGUGUACCCGCGGCAAGACGGAAAGACCCCGUGAACCUUUACUAUAGCUUGACACUGAACAUUGAGCCUUGAUGUGUAGGAUAGGUGGGAGGCUUUGAAGUGUGGACGCCAGUCUGCAUGGAGCCGACCUUGAAAUACCACCCUUUAAUGUUUGAUGUUCUAACGUGGACCCGUGAUCCGGGUUGCGGACAGUGUCUGGUGGGUAGUUUGACUGGGGCGGUCUCCUCCUAAAGAGUAACGGAGGAGCACGAAGGUUGGCUAAUCCUGGUCGGACAUCAGGAGGUUAGUGCAAUGGCAUAAGCCAGCUUGACUGCGAGCGUGACGGCGCGAGCAGGUGCGAAAGCAGGUCAUAGUGAUCCGGUGGUUCUGAAUGGAAGGGCCAUCGCUCAACGGAUAAAAGGUACUCCGGGGAUAACAGGCUGAUACCGCCCAAGAGUUCAUAUCGACGGCGGUGUUUGGCACCUCGAUGUCGGCUCAUCACAUCCUGGGGCUGAAGUAGGUCCCAAGGGUAUGGCUGUUCGCCAUUUAAAGUGGUACGCGAGCUGGGUUUAGAACGUCGUGAGACAGUUCGGUCCCUAUCUGCCGUGGGCGCUGGAGAACUGAGGGGGGCUGCUCCUAGUACGAGAGGACCGGAGUGGACGCAUCACUGGUGUUCGGGUUGUCAUGCCAAUGGCACUGCCCGGUAGCUAAAUGCGGAAGAGAUAAGUGCUGAAAGCAUCUAAGCACGAAACUUGCCCCGAGAUGAGUUCUCCCUGACCCUUUAAGGGUCCUGAAGGAACGUUGAAGACGACGACGUUGAUAGGCCGGGUGUGUAAGCGCAGCGAUGCGUUGAGCUAACCGGUACUAAUGAACCGUGAGGCUUAACCUU
rnacentral:rRNA from 1 species